CUUACUGUUGUUUCAGUUGACUUAUCUUGUGAAUAUGCAAUAGGGGUGGCACGGUUCACAAAACCCACGGUUUGGUUCGUAUCACGGUUUUAGGGGCACGGUUUUCGAUUCUGUACGGUUCUUGUUUUCUUCCUUUACUCUUUAACAUUUCAGAGAUAUACUUCA